rnacentral:tRNA from 1 species
GGAGAGUUAGCUCAGUGGUAGAGCGCUUGCCUAGCAAGCGCAAGGCCCUGGGUUCGGUCCUCAGCUCCA